rnacentral:tRNA from 1 species
GCCUACGUGGCUCAUUUGGUUAAGCACCUGACUUUGGCUCAGGUCAUGAUCUCACAGUUCAUGGGUUUGAACCCCAUGUCGGGCU